AAUUGAAAAUAGAUUCUUCUCUCAUACAGUACAUCCCGUCCACAGUUUCCCCUCUCCAGGCCUCCCAGCUCCCCUCCAUAUCCCCUCUUACUUUAAUGAGAUGCUUAUAAAUCCAGUUACACAGUGCCGGGGGCCUAAUUCCCUCCAUCAGCCCACCCACCACACACGUAGAGGAAUCCAGGGUGCUCACACCAGACACUCAGGGUCACAGAAGCACAAUGAGCCCAGCGUUCCCACAUGCCAGGACUUGGCACACUCAUCACUCCUGCUCCGUUAUCUAUGAGAAGAUAGAGCCACGUUGUUGCCAUCCCAUUUGACAGGAGGGGAGACUGAGGUAGAGGCUCACUGACACCGUGAAGUCAGACAGCCAGAAUUUGUAGCCCGAGUUUCUGAGUCUGAAGCCUGCCAUCACUCAGGCUACUGCAGAGGUCAAACUUGUACUGUGUUUUUGUUGGGGUGCACGUGAGUAUGUGUGGGUGUAGGUGUAAGUGUACCUGUGUGUGUGUGUGUGUGUGUGUGUGUGUGUGUGUAUGUAUGUGUGUGGAGAACGGAGGUCUACCCUGAGUGUUAUUCUCAUCUUGGUUUUUGGGACAAAGUCUUUCCUCGUCCUGGCGUUGAGCUAGGAGACAAGGCUGGCUGGUCAGUGACCACUAGAGAUUCCUUGUGUCUCUGCCCCCCUGGGCACUGGGAUCUCCUCACACCAGGCUUUAUUUCCGGAGGCAAGCACUUUAUCAGUGGAGCCAUCUCUCCAGCUAGCUCCCUCUAACUUGCUUUUUACAGAUGGAACUGCUUGGAAGGCAAGGGAUGGGCCCUGCACUGCUGUCUGAAAGGCAAUAGAGCAGCCUGCACUUCUGCACUCUGGCAUGGGGCAGGAAACUCUUCCUUCCCUCUCCAGACCCUGCACUCCUAGGAGCUCAGGAUGCGGCUGUUCCAUCCCUAUUCACCUGG
rnacentral:lncRNA from 1 species